rnacentral:misc_RNA from 1 species
GAUGAAGAACGCAGCGAAAUGCGAUAAGUAAUGUGAAUUGCAGAAUUCAGUGAAUCAUCGAGUCUUUGAACGCACAUUGCGCCCCCUGGUAUUCCGGGGGGCAUGCCUGUCCGAGCGUCAUUGCCGCCCUCAAGCACGGCUUGUGUGUUGGGCCCCCGCCCCCCGGCUUCGGGGGGCGGGCCCGAAAGGCAGCGGCGGCACCGCGUCCGGUCCUCGAGCGUAUGGGGCUUCGUCACCCGCUCUGUAGGCCCGGCCGGCGCCCGCCGGCGACCCCAAUCAAUCUUUCCAGGUUGACCUCGGAUCAGGUAGGGAUACCCGCUGAACUUAAGCAUAUCAAUAACGGAGGA